rnacentral:rRNA from 1 species
AUUGAACGCUGGCGGCAGGCUUAACACAUGCAAGUCGAGCGAGCCGCGGACGUGUGAGUAAUGUCUGGGAAACUGCCUGAUGGAGGGGGAUAACUACUGGAAACGGUAGCUAAUACCGCAUACCAUCAGAUGUUCCCAGAUGGGAUUAGCUAGUAGGUGGGGUAAUGGCUCACCUAGGCGACGAUCCCUAGCUGGUCUGAGAGGAUGACCAGCCACACUGGAACUGAGACACGGUCCAGACUCCUACGGGAGGCAGCAGUGGGGAAUAUUGCACAAUGGGCGCAAGCCUGAUAGAGCCAUGCCGCGUGUGUGAAGAAGGCCUUCGGAUUGUAAAGCACUUUCAGAGAGGAGGCGUUACUCGCAGAAGAAGCACCGGCUAACUCCGUGCCAGCAGCCGCGGUAAUAC